rnacentral:rRNA from 1 species
AUCCUGGCUCAGGAUGAACGCUAGCUACAGGCUUAACACAUGCAAGUCGAGGGGCAGCAUGAACUUAGCUUGCUAAGUUUGAUGGCGACCGGCGCACGGGUGAGUAACACGUAUCCAACCUGCCGAUGACUCGGGGAUAGCCUUUCGAAAGAAAGAUUAAUACCCGAUGGCAUAGUUCUUCCGCAUGGUAGAACUAUUAAAGGAUUUCGGUGAUGGAUGGGGAUGCGUCUGAUUAGCUUGUUGGCGGGGUAACGGCCCACCAAGGCGACGAUCAGUAGGGGUUCUGAGAGGAAGGUCCCCCACAUUGGAACUGAGACACGGUCCAAACUCCUACGGGAGGCAGCAGUGAGGAAUAUUGGUCAAUGGACGAGAGUCUGAACCAGCCAAGUAGCGUGCAGGAUGACGGCCCUAUGGGUUGUAAACUGCUUUUAUAAGGGAAUAAAGUGAGUCUCGUGAGACUUUUUGCAUGUACCUUAUGAAUAAGGACCGGCUAAUUCCGUG